CGUAAGAGCUCGUAGGCGGUUUGUCGCGUCUGCUGUGAAAUCCCGAGGCUCAACCUCGGGCUUGCAGUGGGUACGGGCAGACUAGAGUGCGGUAGGGGAGAUUGGAAUUCCUGGUGUAGCGGUGGAAUGCGCAGAUAUCAGGAGGAACACCGAUGGCGAAGGCAGAUCUCUGGGCCGUAACUGACGCUGAGGAGCGAAAGCGUGGGGAGCGAACAGGAUUAGAUACCCUGGUAGUCCACGCCGUAAACGUUGGGCGCUAGAUGUAGGGACCUUUCCACGGUUUCUGUGUCGUAGCUAACGCAUUAAGCGCCCCGCCUGGGGAGUACGGCCGCAAGGCUAAAACUCAAAGGAAUUGACGGGGGCCCGCACAAGCGGCGGAGCAUGCGGAUUAAUUCGAUGCAACGCGAAGAACCUUACCAAGGCUUGACAUACACCGGAAACGGCCAGAGAUGGUCGCCCCCUUGUGGUCGGUGUACAGGUGGUGCAUGGUUGUCGUCAGCUCGUGUCGUGAGAUGUUGGGUUAAGUCCCGCAACGAGCGCAACCCUCGUUCUAUGUUGCCAGCGCGUUAUGGCGGGGGACUCAUAGGAGACUGCC
rnacentral:rRNA from 2 species